CAGGGUGGGAAGGAAGCAGCGGU
rnacentral:SRP_RNA from 12 species